UACGUAGGGUGCAAGCGUUGUCCGGAAUUAUUGGGCGUAAAGAGCUCGUAGGCGGUUUGUCGCGUCGAAUGUGAAAACCCGGGGCUCAACCCCGGGCCUGCAUUCGAUACGGGCAGACUAGAGUUCGGUAGGGGAGUCUGGAAUUCCUGGUGUAGCGGUGAAAUGCGCAGAUAUCAGGAGGAACACCGGUGGCGAAGGCGGGACUCUGGGCCGGUACUGACGCUGAGGUGCGAAAGCGUGGGGAGCAAACAGG
rnacentral:rRNA from 1 species